rnacentral:rRNA from 1 species
CGUUCAGAUCACGGCGACGUAGACGAUACGCUGCCCGCGACGUCGCGAGAAGUCCACUGAACCUUAUCAUUUAGAGGAAGGAUAAGUCGUAACAAGGUUUCCGUAGGUGAACCUGCGGAAGGAUCAUU